AUUGAACGCUGGCGGCAUGCUUUACACAUGCAAGUCGAACGGUAACAGGUCUUCGGAUGCUGACGAGUGGCGAACGGGUGAGUAAUGUAUCGGAACGUGCCCAGUAGUGGGGGAUAACUACUCGAAAGAGUGGCUAAUACCGCAUGAGAACUGAGGUUGAAAGCGGGGGACCUUCGGGCCUCGCGCUACUGGAGCGGCCGAUAUCAGAUUAGGUAGUUGGUGGGGUAAAGGCCUACCAAGCCGACGAUCUGUAGCUGGUCUGAGAGGACGACCAGCCACACUGGGACUGAGACACGGCCCAGACUCCUACGGGAGGCAGCAGUGGGGAAUUUUGGACGAAUGGACGCAAGUCUGAUCCAGCAAUGCCGCGUGCAGGACGAAGGCC
rnacentral:rRNA from 1 species